rnacentral:rRNA from 1 species
GACGAACGCUGGCGGCGUGCUUAACACAUGCAAGUCGAACGGAAAGGCCCUGCUUUUGUGGGGUGCUCGAGUGGCGAACGGGUGAGUAACACGUGAGUAACCUGCCCUUGACUUUGGGAUCACUUCAGGAAACUGGGGCUAAUACCGGAUAGGAGCUCCUGCUGCAUGGUGGGGGUUGGAAAGUUUCGGCGGUUGGGGAUGGACUCGCGGCUUAUCAGCUUGUUGGUGGGGUAGUGGCUUACCAAGGCUUUGACGGGUAGCCGGCCUGAGAGGGUGACCGGCCACAUUGGGACUGAGAUACGGCCCAGACUCCUACGGGAGGCAGCAGUGGGGAAUAUUGCACAAUGGGCGGAAGCCUGAUGCAGCAACGCCGCGUGCGGGAUGACGGCCUUCGGGUUGUAAACCGCUUUCGCCUGUGACGAAGCGUGAGUGACGGUAAUGGGUAAAGAAGCACCGGCUAACUACGUGCCAGCAGCCGCGGUGAUACGUAGGGUGCGAGCGUUGUCCGGAUUUAUUGGGCGUAAAGGGCUCGUAGGUGGUUGAUCGCGUCGGAAGUGUAAUCUUGGGGCUUAACCCUGAGCGUGCUUUCGAUACGGGUUGACUUGAGGAAGGUAGGGGAGAAUGGAAUUCCUGGUGGAGCGGUGGAAUGCGCAGAUAUCAGGAGGAACACCAGUGGCGAAGGCGGUUCUCUGGGCCUUUCCUGACGCUGAGGAGCGAAAGCGUGGGGAGCGAACAGGCUUAGAUACCCUGGUAGUCCACGCUGUAAACGGUGGGUACUAGGUGUGGGGUCCAUUCCACGGGUUCCGUGCCGUAGCUAACGCUUUAAGUACCCCGCCUGGGGAGUACGGCCGCAAGGCUAAAACUCAAAGGAAUUGACGGGGCCCCGCACAAGCGGCGGAGCAUGCGGAUUAAUUCGAUGCAACGCGUAGAACCUUACCUGGGUUUGACAUGGAUCGGGAGCGCUCAGAGAUGGGUGUGCCUCUUUUGGGGUCGGUUCACAGGUGGUGCAUGGCUGUCGUCAGCUCGUGUCGUGAGAUGUUGGGUUAAGUCCCGCAACGAGCGCAACCCUUGUUCACUGUUGCCAGCACGUUAUGGUGGGGACUCAGUGGAGACCGCCGGGGUCAACUCGGAGGAAGGUGGGGAUGACGUCAAGUCAUCAUGCCCCUUAUGUCCAGGGCUUCACGCAUGCUACAAUGGCUGGUACAGAGAGUGGCGAGCCUGUGAGGGUGAGCGAAUCUCGGAAAGCCGGUCUCAGUUCGGAUUGGGGUCUGCAACUCGACCUCAUGAAGUCGGAGUCGCUAGCAAUCGCAGAUCAGCAACGCUGCGGUGAAUACGUUCCCGGG